rnacentral:rRNA from 1 species
UACGUAGGCAGCAAGCGUUGUUCGGAGUUACUGGGCGUAAAGAGUGUGUAGGCGGUGCUCUAAGUUUGGUGUGAAAUCUCCCGGCUUAACUGGGAGGGUGCGCCGAAAACUGGAGUGCUUGAGUGUGGGAGAGGAAAGCGGAAUUCCUGGUGUAGCGGUGAAAUGCGUAGAUAUCAGGAGGAACACCUGUGGUGUAGACGGCUUUCUGGACCACUACUGACGCUGAGACACGAAAGCGUGGGGAGCAAACAGG